GCCAAGGCAAACUCUUCAUAAAGAUUCAGUUCCACGAAGACACGAACUUAUUUUGGAUCAGAACGGACAAUGAACACCUGUCCACUUAUCUAUCUCUACUUAUUUUUAUAUUUCCAAAAGAUAUGCGACCAUAAUUAUACCACACCGCAAACGGGUCGUUGGAUUAACAUAUACUUCAUUGGUCUGUUACGUUAUGCCCAUUUAU